GACGGGGCCCGCGCAAGCGGUGGAGUAUGUGGUUUAAUUCGAUGCAACGCGAAGAACCUUACCUGGGCUUGACAUCCCGAGAAUCCCCUGGAAACAGGGGAGUGCCUUUCGGGGAACUCGGAGACAGGUGCUGCAUGGCUGUCGUCAGCUCGUGUCGUGAGAUGUUGGGUUAAGUCCCGCAACGAGCGCAACCCUUGUCUUUAAUUGCCAGCAUUCAGUUGGGCACUUUAAAGAGACUGCCGGUGUUAAGCCGGAGGAAGGUGGGGAUGACGUCAAGUCCUCAUGGCCUUUAUGCCCAGGGCUACACACGUGCUACAAUGGGUGGUACAAAGAGAUGCCAACUCGCGAGAGCGCGCCAAUCUCAGAAAGCCAUCCUCAGUUCGGAUUGGAGUCUGCAACUCGACUCCAUGAAGUUGGAAUCGCUAGUAAUCGCGGAUCAGCACGCCGCGGUGAAUACGUUCCCGGGCCUU
rnacentral:rRNA from 1 species